AGAGUUUGAUCCUGGCUCAGAUUGAACGCUGGCGGCAUGCUUUACACAUGCAAGUCGGACGGCAGCACAGAGAAGCUUGCUUCUUGGGUGGCGAGUGGCGAACGGGUGAGUAAUAUAUCGGAACGUACCGAGUAAUGGGGGAUAACUAAUCGAAAGAUUACCUAAUACCGCAUAUUCUCUGAGGAGGAAAGCAGGGGACCUUCGGGCCUUGCGUUAUUCGAGCGGCCGAUAUCUGAUUAGCUAGUUGGUGGGGUAAAGGCCUACCAAGGCGACGAUCAGUAGCGGGUCUGAGAGGAUGAUCCGCCACACUGGGACUGAGACACGGCCCAGACUCCUACGGGAGGCAGCAGUGGGGAAUUUUGGACAAUGGGCGCAAGCCUGAUCCAGCCAUGCCGCGUGUCUGAAGAAGGCCUUCGGGUUGUAAAGGACUUUUGUCAGGGAAGAAAAGGCUGUUGCUAAUAUCGACAGCUGAUGACGGUACCUGAAGGAUAAGCACCGGCUAACUACGUGCCAGCAGCCGCGGUAAUACGUAGGGUGCGAGCGUUAAUCGGAAUUACUGGGCGUAAAGCGAGCGCAGACGGUUACUUAAGCAGGAUGUGAAAUCCCCGGGCUCAACCUGGGAACUGCGUUCUGAACUGGGUGACUAGAGUGUGUCAGAGGGAGGUAGAAUUCCACGUGUAGCAGUGAAAUGCGUAGAGAUGUGGAGGAAUACCGAUGGCGAAGGCAGCCUCCUGGGAUAACACUGACGUUCAUGCUCGAAAGCGUGGGUAGCAAACAGGAUUAGAUACCCUGGUAGUCCACGCCCUAAA
rnacentral:rRNA from 1 species